GGCGCAACUCUUUCCUCAGCAGGCGCCGCUGACUGCAAGAACCGCCUCCUUGACCGCUCCCUCGACGCACUUGGGUCAUUAUCCCGGGGUAAAGGAGCAGACCAGCCGGUGUCAGCCCCCCUUGUCACAGGACCUCUCUCACGCCGGGCCACACUCCUGCCUGGAACAUCAGCAGGAGCCCCGGCCACCAUCUCCUCACCUCUGCCAUUCUGAAGAACCAGAGGAGGGACGCGGAAGUAAGCCCUCCCCCUGGCCGGACCCCGACCGCUGAGGAUCAGAAUCAGCUGACAUAGUGAGCAGCCAUCUGGGCAUCAAGUUCUGCAGAGAGAAGAUUUAGCUGGAACAAAUCCUGGCGAGAAGACUCUGGAUCCGCCCCUGCUUUGGGGUCAUUUUUGCUUGUGUGGGGGCGUACAUUAUGUUACGUGAAGAGGAUGAUGGGAGCUGAGACUCCAUAACCAGGAAGUGCUGCUAUUUUCACAGUGGCAUAGCAUACAAACGGGAUGGGGCAGACAUAUAAUGAAAAGUGCGGUGGCAUCAUGGA